AACGAACGCUGGCGGCAGGCCUAACACAUGCAAGUCGAACGCUGUAGCAAUACAGAGUGGCAGACGGGUGAGUAGCGCGUGGGAACCUUCCCAAUGGUACGGAAUAGCUCAGGGAAACUUGAGGUAAUACCGUAUAAGCCCCUAGGGGGAAAGAUUUAUCGCCAUUGGAUGGGCCCGCGUCGGAUUAGCUAGUUGGUGAGGUAAUGGCUCACCAAGGCGACGAUCCGUAGCUGGUUUGAGAGAAUGACCAGCCACACUGGGACUGAGACACGGCCCAGACUCCUACGGGAGGCAGCAGUGGGGAAUCUUGGACAAUGGGCGAAAGCCUGAUCCAGCCAUGCCGCGUGAGUGACGAAGGCCUUAGGGUUGUAAAGCUCUUUUGCCGGGGACGAUAAUGACGGUACCCGGAGAAUAAGUCCCGGCUAACUUCGUGCCAGCAGCCGCAGUAA
rnacentral:rRNA from 1 species